UACGAAGGGGGCUAGCGUUGCUCGGAAUGACUGGGCGUAAAGGGCGCGUAGGCGGAUGGCACAGUCAGAUGUGAAAUUCCCGGGCUUAACCUGGGGGCUGCAUUUGAUACGUGUGAUCUAGAGUGAGGAAGAGGGUCGUGGAAUUCCCGAGUGUAGAGGUGAAAUUCGUAGAUAUUGGGAAGAACACCGGUGGCGAGGGCGGCGACCUGGUCCUUGACUGACGCUGAGGC
rnacentral:rRNA from 1 species